UUAAAUUAAAUGUACUGAGGAGUCAGCAGUUGGAAAUAUCCAUGAAGGGUUGAACCUAUGUAUGGUACUUAGUAGGGAUGUCAGAGCAAUGAAUGUGUAUGUGCGAUUCAUUAGCUUGUGUUUGAGGAGGUAGUUAAAGCCACAGCCAUGGAUGAAAUCAUCCAGGAGGAGUACACAGAGGAAAAGGAGAAUUUACCCAUCAAGACAAUCUGAACAAAGCAGAGACCAGCAACACAAAUCUAGGAAGGUGCGAUUUUUUUCAUUAUACCUCUUGUAAUUCAAAUUUCAAGAAUAGCAUAAUGUCUUAUAUUAUAUAAACAAAAACAAAAACAAACAAAUGGGAAAAACCCAACUCAUAAUGUAGGAGGAAAUCUGGGAGAGAUUUAUUAGAAAGUUAAGAGAACAAUGGAUGAAGAAUUAAUGGUGUUUAGAGCUUCCAAUGAUACAUAAAAUAGAAUUAAAUCACAUGGUUUAUUGAUUGACACACAUAGUUACCAGAACAGCUUUCUUUGUGCUGCAUCCUUACAUAGCUUGGGUCCUAGAACCCUGACUAUGGGCAACAAUGGAAUCAAUGGAAUGAAGAAAUAACAGACCCUAAAGAAACAACAGAUAUAGGUACACAGAAAGUCUGAGAUUGAUGGCCUGAACUCUCUGAUGGAAGCCCAGUGUGUUUAUUAUGUACAGCUGAACAUGGAGGUGGGUUACUGCAUCCAUCUGAACAGGAGGUGGGGUUAAUGGUGUAUGGCUGAAUAGGAGGCAGGUUUAGCUAAUCUCACCAGGAGCAGUCUCUGCAGGGGGGCAGUCUUCAGGCUGUAAACAUCCAGGAGGAGAAAGGUACAGUGGACAUUUUCUGCACACACUGUCAGUCUGUCAGUCUCCCCUCAUGGGCCAGAGGAAGAGUUGCCACCCCUCUGGGCCUUACCUAGGCUUUGUCACUUUCAUGGGGCUGAGGAUUUGGGGUCCUUGACAUGACUGUGCUCACGUCAAAUGAUACAUACUCUCUCAGGACUUCAUAUGCCCCCUACACGUUUAUCCUUUGGUCUUAUCAUAAUGAUAUGAAUAAACUUAACAAGAUUUUGUGAAAACUUGAUAGGUGUCAGUGUGUCUCUCUGCCCAGGUACAUUCCUCAAAAGCAAGUGAUGCAUAGCUGUCUUUUGGUUGUAAAAAGAUGAAAUACAUGCUUAAGUAGUGUGUCUGUUUCUCUGUUUUUAACAUUUAUCUCUAUUGGUUAAUAACUUCUGUGGUCUCUGUGUGGGACCUUCCUUUUGGGGAUAGAUGGACCCAUGUAUAAUGUGGUCAGGAUUUUAGUGCCUAGGUCACUAAUCAGUUGACUCUUAGUUAAUAAAAGAUACAUCAUCUCAGAUGUGCUUGUCUUUUACAGGCGAGCCCUUCAAAAGAGGGACUGACUGGACUUUUCUGGAAAAAAUUUUACUAGCCUUCAAGAAUUAUGUAAGCAGAGGUGGAGUUUUUCUUUCCUGACCACCUGGUCCCAAAGAAACAUACAAAAGCAUGUAUUAAUUAGAAAACGCUCAGCCGAUGGCUCAGACUAUCAGUGUUUUAUUGAAUCAAUUCCAGUGACAAAUCUUUACAGUGUGCAAGAGGAAUAUCCCACAGCAGAAUUUAGUCUUCAAAGAAGAAGGUCACAUGACAAGGACCCAAGGGUGGCUUCUGGAGAGGAGAGCAAUUUGGGGCUGACAGCAAGUGCUACCGUGUUCUUGCUGUGAGAGUGUUUGCAGAGAAACCUGGCUCCAACUUGAGGAAUGAGAGGGCACGGAAUAACCCACUGAAGCAAUUGCAUGGUGAAAGUGCAGCACAGAGUACUGCUCAGAGUGCAUCUUUAUUAGGAAAACGUCCUUAUGCAAUGCUCCUGUCAAGCCAGAAGAUGAAGACUGACUGUACAGAUAGGGUUAGUCAUCAGAAUCUAGUGGAGACCGAGCAAGCUGACAUCAUCUGUAGAGGGACCCUCCCUCUGGCGUAUAUGCUAGGUCAGCUGUUCUUUGGAAUGCUGCUGACACAAGGGGAAAGUGGGCUAGUGAGCUGAUGACAUCAUUGCGUAUAAUUUAUAUGGAAUAGUUUAGCAACAUGGAACUCCUCUUGGUUUGGGCUGCUAAUGAGGCCCUUGACAGCCUCUUAGCAACCUGGGACCACCACCUGUUUCAGCUGCACGCAUGCUUGCUUUAAACAAUGGAAACAAACACACAAGCCUGUCAAUCAAAAUAGAGAACCACUCACACUAUACCCUCUGUCAACUAAACUCCUCCUCCUCUUGAAUCCCGCAAGAGGAAACCUGAGGCAAUAAUUCGGGUCCCUUAAGUGCCCGUUCAUUCUUGUGAUCCACUGUAGCUCUUGACAGUAUAUUUUUUCCUGCUCUAUGAGAACGUUUUGCUUUUGAAUAAAGUUCCCUGCUCGUUUGUGAC